CAAGGGAUGGUGUAGCGGUAAGGACUUGGUACCAAGGAAUUUGCUCCCCUGUGGUCUCGGGUUCGAGUCCCGAUUGCUCCCUUGA